CGUCCCAUAGCUCAACGGUAGAGCGUCCGCUUGAUAAGCGGUUGAUCUGAGUUCGAUUCUCAGUGGGACAACCA
rnacentral:tRNA from 1 species